rnacentral:rRNA from 1 species
UACGGAGGGAGCUAGCGUUGUUCGGAAUUACUGGGCGUAAAGCGCGCGUAGGCGGCUUUGUAAGUUAGAGGUGAAAGCCCGGGGCUCAACCCCGGAAUUGCCUUUAAGACUGCAUCGCUUGAAUCCGGGAGAGGUGAGUGGAAUUCCGAGUGUAGAGGUGAAAUUCGUAGAUAUCGAGAGGAACACCGGUGGCGAAGGCGGCCAACUGGACGAAUACUGACGCUGAGACUCGAAAGCGUGGGGAGCAAACAGG